rnacentral:tRNA from 1 species
UACGGAUGUAGCUCAGUUGGUAGAGCAUCGGUCUCCAAAACCGAAGGUCGUAAGUUCGAUUCUUACCGUCCGUGCAUG